rnacentral:rRNA from 1 species
AUUGAACGCUGGCGGCAGGCCUAACACAUGCAAGUCGAACGGUAACAGGAAGCAGCUUGCUGCUUUGCUGACGAGUGGCGGACGGGUGAGUAAUGUCUGGGAAACUGCCCGAUGGAGGGGGAUAACUACUGGAAACGGUAGCUAAUACCGCAUAACGUCGCAAGACCAAAGAGGGGGACCUUAGGGCCUCUUGCCAUCGGAUGUGCCCAGAUGGGAUUAGCUAGUAGGUGGGGUAACGGCUCACCUAGACGACGAUCCCUAGCUGGUCUGAGAGGAUGACCAGCCACACUGGAACUGAGACACGGUCCAGACUCCUACGGGAGGCAGCAGUGGGGAAUAUUGCACAAUGGGCGCAAGCCUGAUGCAGCCAUGCCGCGUGUAUGAAGAAGGCCUUCGGGUUGUAAAGUACUUUCAGCGGGGAGGAAGGGAGUAAAGUUAAUACCUUUGCUCAUUGACGUUACCCGCAGAAGAAGCACCGGCUAACUCCGUG